AUUGAACGCUGGCGGCAGGCCUAACACAUGCAAGUCGAGCGGAUGAAGGGAGCUUGCUCCUGGAUUCAGCGGCGGACGGGUGAGUAAUGCCUAGGAAUCUGCCUGGUAGUGGGGGAUAACGUCCGGAAACGGGCGCUAAUACCGCAUACGUCCUGAGGGAGAAAGUGGGGGAUCUUCGGACCUCACGGUAUCAGAUGAGCCUAGGUCGGAUUAGCUAGUUGGUGGGGUAAAGGCCUACCAAGGCGACGAUCCGUAACUGGUCUGAGAGGAUGAUCAGUCACACUGGAACUGAGACACGGUCCAGACUCCUACGGGAGGCAGCAGUGGGGAAUAUUGGACAAUGGGCGAAAGCCUGAUCCAGCCAUGCCGCGUGUGUGAAGAAGGUCUUCGGAUUGUAAAGCUCUUUAAGUUGGGAGGAAGGGCAGUAAGUUAAUACCUUGCUGUUUUGACGUUACCAACAGAAUAAGCACCGGCUAACUUCGUG
rnacentral:rRNA from 1 species